rnacentral:rRNA from 1 species
CACGGGGGGAGCAAGCGUUGUUCGGAAUCACUGGGCGUAAAGGGUGCGUAGGCGGGUUUUUAAGUCAGGGGUGAAAUCCUGGAGCUCAACUCCAGAACUGCCUUUGAUACUGAAGAUCUUGAGUCCGGGAGAGGUGAGUGGAACUGCGAGUGUAGAGGUGAAAUUCGUAGAUAUUCGCAAGAACACCAGUGGCGAAGGCGGCUCACUGGCCCGGUACUGACGCUGAGGCACGAAAGCGUGGGGAGCAAACAGG